rnacentral:rRNA from 1 species
UACAGAGGGUGCGAGCGUUAAUCGGAAUUCCUGGGCGUAAAGCGCGCGUAGGCGGCUUUGCAAGUCGAGUGUGAAAUCCCCAGGCUUAACCUGGGAACUGCUCUCGAGACUGCAUAGCUAGAGUAUGGGAGAGGGAAGUGGAAUUUCAGGUGUAGCGGUGAAAUGCGUAGAUAUCUGAAGGAACAUCAGUGGCGAAAGCGACUUCCUGGACCAAUACUGACGCUCAUGUGCGAAAGCGUGGGGAGCAAACAGG